UACACCAAUAAAGGGCCCAGGAUUGGGACCCUCGCAAGAGACCUCGACUGGAGUUGGAGGAGGAACAAGCAGAGACGUCGACAGAAUUUGAGGAGACUGGGUUUGAGUUACCACCCUGAUGAUACUGUAGAAGAAUGCGACGUAUCGUAUCACUAAUCCUAGGAUAAUGUUUGUCCAAGAAACUUCUGAAUCUUACACAGAACAAGGACUGUGACACGAAGUUGAAGAGGUGGCUGCGCAGCAUAAAAAACCAUGUCUACUGGAGUGCGACGAGCACAACCUCGGGGCCGGAGAAGGUGGCAAGGUGGACGUCACUGGUCAACCACCUACAAAACGUUCACGUGCAUGAUGACCCCCUGUUCCCCAAGUGCACACAUCCUGUAGGAGCCGCAAGCGAUGCAAAUAAACCUUACCUAAAAGGUGGCUCAAUAACACUCGCCAGAGUU